GCUUUUGCUGAUGGAUGUGGACCUGGACUUUGUUGUGUUACUACAACUGGUCUGAAAUGGAUGAGUGCACCCUGCUGUUGCAGCGUCUUCAGUGUGAUAAGCAUCUUCACUGAUUCAAGUUCCUUCCGGACACGUGUGCAUUGUGGGCUCUGUGCUGGCAAACCGUCUUUGGACAAUCUUGACAAUUUGACCUCAGAUCGGGUGGGACUACCCGCUGAACUUAAGCAUAUCAAUAAGCGGAGGAAAAGAAACUAACAAGGAUUCCCCUAGUAACGGCGAGUGAAGAGGGAAAAGCUCAAAUUUUGAAUCUGGUGUCUUUGGCGCCCGAGUUGUAAUCUAGAGAAGUGUUUUCUGCCUCGGACCACACAUAAAUUCCCUGGAAUGGGGUGUCAUAGAGGGUGAGAAUCCCGUUUGUGGUGUGGACUACCUUGGCUCUGUGAUACACUCUCAACGAGUCGAGUUGUUUGGGAAUGCAGCUCAAAAUGGGUGGUAAAUUCCAUCUAAAGCUAAAUAUUGGCGAGAGACCGAUAGCGAACAAGUACCGUGAGGGAAAGAUGAAAAGCACUUUGGAAAGAGAGUGAAACAGUACGUGAAAUUGUUGAAAGGGAAGCGUUUGAAGUCAGUCACAUUGGUCGGAAUUCAGCCUGGCUUCUGCCUGGUGUACUUUCUGGCAAAUGGGUCAGCGUCAAUUUUGACCGAGAGAGAAAGACUUGAGGAAUGUGGCUGUCUUUGGGCAGUGUUAUAGCCUCUUGUUGUAUGUCUCGGUUGGGAUUGAGGAUCGCAGCACGCCUUAUGGCCGGGGUUCGCCCUCGGAACGUGCUUAGGACGCUGGCAUAA
rnacentral:rRNA from 1 species